rnacentral:rRNA from 1 species
CAGUCGCCGCGAUAAUACGGAGGGUGCAAGCGUUAUCCGGAUUUAUUGGGUUUAAAGGGUCCGUAGGCGGAUCUGUAAGUCAGUGGUGAAAUCUCACAGCUUAACUGUGAAACUGCCAUUGAUACUGCAGGUCUUGAGUAAAUUUGAAGUGGCUGGAAUAAGUAGUGUAGCGGUGAAAUGCAUAGAUAUUACUUAGAACACCAAUUGCGAAGGCAGGUCACUAAGAUUUAACUGACGCUGAUGGACGAAAGCGUGGGGAGCGAACAGGAUUAGAUACCCCUGUAGUCCCUGUCUCUUAUAA